GAACGCGAAGAAGAAGUGGAAGUCCCUGAAGAGAAGACAACACCACCUUUGGAGUCUCAGGCAGGGUCUCGUCUCUACUUUAGCAUCUGCGGGCCUGAGACUAACUCAUCUAUAAACAAAGGCAAGCCCCGGUGCAUGCAACCCCUUUCCUUAUGUUUUUAAAUACUUUUUGCACACUUAAGUCUAGUGAAAUGUGCAUUAGGUUCAUAGGAGUUACUUGAAACCCUUUGAUGCAUUGCUUUCUUUGAUAUCCAUACCUUUAUAGAUACUUCUGUGAAGUAUCAAAAUAUGAUUUACAAAAAUGCUUAGCCUUGCUUAGAUCUUGUGGAUAGAGGUUGUCCUCAAUUUAACCAUGGAGAGGAUGGCUUCUACCUGCAAGAAUAUUUUCAUUUGGAGCAAUAGUGGGAUCUUACUGCAAAGUUCCCUGUGAUGCUCUUUUCAUCCUAAGGAACACAAACAAUCCUAAGGGUGGAAGUACUUAAAUCGGGACUUGGGCUAGGAACAGGUGAUGUUCCGUCCGGGUCAAUUAAGGAUUGGAUGCGUAUGUAGGCCUGUUGAUCAAGGACUAUCUUAUCUAGCCACAUGCCCUGAGAAUGGGACAGGGUAAGCUUGAACCCGGCUAUUCCAUACAUGAAAAGACAAUCGCGCACUGGGCGUGGAGAGAUGGCGAGAGUGGCACGUACCCUCCUGGCAACGGAUCGCCUAAAAGGGGUGGUGUACUCUCGGGUGGCGCGGACCUGUUCAUGCAGUGGAGGAUCCGUGGGAAUAGUAGACAUCAAGGUUUACGAGAAACAUAUGUCGUGUGGUUAGAGAUCCUCAGCUGAGUAAAUCGAUUCGGAUCGCCGUUAUAUCCCCGGAGAGUGGAGACUUGAGCUCCGACCUACAACCUAAGUCAAGAUGUGAACAUUAUGAAUAAAAAUGAUGUUGUAUUGAUGAGAUGGUGAAAUUAGACCAGAUGCAAACAGAGUUUAUUAAUAUUUAAUCUGGCGUUAAAAAUUGAAAGUAAGGACUCACUUUAGUAAGCUAUUUCUGCAAAAGUAUCUAAGUUGAUUCUUGCUAAAGCCUCUCCUUGAUUCCCAAAUCCAGCAUAUCCUUGAGAGUCUUUUCUUUAGUCGGGUAAGUCUUGCUGAGUAAUUCCAUACUCAGGGUUUUAUUCCCUGUUGUUUUUCAGGUUAUAGUUUUUGUGCUGCUGUUGAUGGUGUUAAGUGCCGGUGGGCUCGGCCUUCUUAUAUAAGUAUACCCCGUCUUUAUCUUCUUAUUGAGGAUGGUCACUUGAGCUAGCAUAUAUUUCAAAACUAUAAAUAAUUUAUAACCGUUCAAAGUUUCUUUCUUUGAAUCAAUGUAGUAAUCACUCUGAUCAUGUACGAAGUAAAAUUUUUGUAACUUGUAAAAUUUGGUAAUAAGAUUUCCGCUGCAAAAUAUUGGUGUGUGUGAUUUGUAUUACUUAAUCCCGCGGUUCUGGUUGUGAGUGGUUUAUCCGGGGUCCCUGGGACACUCGGACAGAUCCUGUUAAGUUAUCUGGUGCACAUGCAUAGUCGUCUGAGGUCUUUGAGACAAGGACAGGUGCAUGUGGGCCCAAUAACUUGGGAGGUUCUGCCACAGCUGGUAUCGGAGCGUAGCCCUUCUUUGCAGAUAUUAUGAGGCAUCUUCAAAAGGAUUUUCUAAAAUUCUUACCUAGAAACUUCCUUCCUUUCUUACCUAAGUAUUCUGAAGAGUUUAUCUUAAAAGACCAGAUAGGAAGAGUGCAACGUAUAGAAGGAUGAAUCAACUAAGGUUGAUUCUGUAUUUACACAUGCAUCAUGUCAUACAAACUUUAAAUUAAACCCCCUAUGUAGCUACCUUGUUCAUACAUUUUUAGUAAGUAGAGUGUUCCGUUGCUCUUCUCUGAAGAUGAAUCAACAAGAAGCCCCUACCGGAGUUGGAGAGUUUCUACGAGAUUUUGGUGUUCCAGUGGUCCUGUGGCGACUACUUCAAGAAGUCGGAUAUAUCGAAACACCCAAGUACCAGUGGUCGCGCACUGUUCUUAGAGGACAACCAUGGUAUGAGGUGGUAGUGCGUAUUCCAGAACGUGCUAGAAAGCCAUCUUGGCCACAUUGGAUGUUCCAUGCUGAAGGAAUGACUCCUUGGGAAGGUGCUCAAGUAGCUGCCUUAGAGGCGCUAACAACCAUUUGUUACCAGAAAUGGGAAGAAAUACAAGCCACAUCUAUGAGGUUGUUCCCUGCAGUUGCCUUAAGUGACCCAUUUGUGUAUCAUCACCAGGCCCGAUUAAUGGAAAGCAUUCCUAUUGGGCAGGAUUCUGUUGAAUCGGCAUCUGCUCGAGUUUUGAUGGCCGUGCUAGAGUUGCAACUUACUCGAGGGCACAGUCGUCAAAAGUGGCAGCAGUUGUACACUGGAAGUUAUGCAGCAUUUAAGAUGAUGGAAAUGGCCAAGAAUAGGGCUUGUACCCAGGCACAAGAACGACUUGAGGAAACAAAGGUUCAAGCAGAACAGGUUAUUGGACUAAAGCAUCAGGUGACAGAACUUCAGACGCAACACCAAGCUGAUCAGAAUCGCAUUAAGGCGCUUGAGCAUCAGCUAGCUAAUGCUCAUUCUAAAUCAAAAGUUCUGAGUCAGCAACAAGAAGAAAUUCGCUUGGAUGCUAUUGCUGUUAGCGAAGACCUUAAGGAAACCCUAAGCUUCAUAAGCCAUCAGGAUCAGGCGAUCUAGGAAUUGAAUCGUGCUCAUCCAAUGGAAUUUCAAGUAGCACAACGGCUUGUCAACCAUCUGCUGCAAACAGUGCAUAGGCUCAAUGUUGCCUUUUAUCCUACUCCUGCAUCAGCGGACUAAGGGUUACUUGGAAGAAUGGCAACAAGCAUCUGGCAGAUGGUGUAGCCAGAGAAGAUAUAGUAGGCAACUGGGAGCGUAGUGAAGUAGAUCAAGGUAGUAAGGUAGGUGUAAGAUAGACCAGCUUGGUAAUAAAAACAGGUUAAACUUUAUUGGAAAGAGUUUUUCCUGUUUCCCCUGGGUCAUGUAACAUAUGAGCUUUUCUAUGACUAUGGUGUAAGAAACGACUGCCGGUUUCAGAGGCAGCUUUUAAUAUCUAUAGUAGUUUGUCAAAAUUCCAAGAGUUAAAAUGGCUAUUCCUUUGGAUAUUCCCUGUGGAUGCACGUGUGUGGAUAAAUAACUUGCCACACGCUGGUGCCAUAAUUUCUGGUUGUGUUUCGUGAUGAAAUGGUACCACCGUGAUUUCCCAUAUGCAUCUGUUGAACGAGAAAUGGACGAAUGGCUAGGCGUAUCCAAAACAAAUUAGAUGCAAUAUCUUGGGUAAAACACACAGAAAGAGAUUUAUCUUCAAGUCAUUAUUGGAAGUUUGUAGCAUCGGAAACGAGUGCGAAUGUUGAUCGACAUCGUGGUUAACUCGUGAUUAAGCGAAACAGAACACCUCCCCUGCCUUGUAAGUGAAAUUAGGAAAUAAGUCAGUGACGCGUUUCCUUCUCUAUUACUGAGCCUGGACUUUUAAAUCUCGGGACGAGAUUUCUUUUAGGGGGGAAGGCUGUAACACCCCUGGUGUUACGUAAACUAAAACUCUGACAUGUCAUCACAAGCAUCUGCAUUAAUGUGUUUGUUACACCUAGAAUGCAUUUACUAGGUUAAAACUUUACAACAAGUGUGAUGUUGUGUGUUGAGUAGUGGACUUAGUUAAGGGCCUGGUUUAAGCAAAAUGAGGGAAGAUCAUCUCUUGAGCAAGUAAUAUGAUGACUUGGAGUCUUAAGUAUUAAAGGAAAGCUUUAAGAACCUGGAAUUAUUUGUUUUGAAGUGUUAGUCUAGUGGAAGUAACACUUGAGAAGAUUGGAUCUUGAGCUAGAGAGUAACUUUGCUCUAGGUGGAGGGAUCAAAGGGAUGAAUCCCUAGAAGAAGCUGAAACACAAAUGAAACUCAAUUGAAACCCUAAAACUAGUCCCAAGUAGAGCUGUCAGAAAUUGUAGAUUUCAGACUUAGUGAAAUUCAGAUUCUGAAUUGCAGCAAUUGGAGCAAACUUUGGGCUAUUGUAGUUUGGAAUCCAAGAGGUUUUGGUUAAUGGUUACUAUAUCAAACUUGUAGAGGAGCUAUAGUAGUAUAAACUUUAUUGAGCAACUUGCCCCUAGAAACUUUUGGAAUCCAGGCAAAAGAGUGGUUUAAAGUGGUGCUGCUGUGUUUCUGAAUUUUCAGAUUGGAAACAGUAACUGAAUUUCAGUGUGGAUAGCAGUUUUGGAGCUGGUUUGUGCCUGUUCUGUAAUGUUUUGUGCUGGGAUGUUUAUAGAGAAGUUGAAGCCUAUAUGAUAGUGAACAAAUCUACUAAAGUAUCUUUGACUUGAUUCCACACAGAAAAUGGAGAAAAACUUGUUCAAAGUUGGACUAAUUGUGGCUGGAACUGAAUUGUAUUCAGUUACUGAAAACUGAAUUUCAGUGAAAGUUGCUGUUUUUGGAGCCCAUUUGUGCCUAAUCCAUAAGGUUUUAAACUAUGGUUUCUAUAGAGGAAUUGAAGACCAUAAGUUGGGGUACAAAUGUCUUUGAGGGUGAUGGAUAUGAUCCUACACAAAAGGUGGAGAAAAAGUAGACUGAAACUGGACUGUCCGUGUGCACAAACUGAAUUUUUGUGCAGAUCACUAAAACCUGAAUUUACAGUUUGGUGCUAUGUUUGGAGCUCUAUUGUGCCAAAUCCUGGCAGAUUUGGACAGACAACUUUAUAGCAAAAUAGAAUACCAUAUAUAAGAGAACAAAUUUCUUUAAGUGGGUUUGGUCUGGUACUACACAAAGAAGGGAGUAAAAUGGUCCCAAACAUGUUCUGUCAGACUUGGUGGUAUGCUAUUUCAGACUUUGAAAUUGGAUUUCCAGUGUUGUUGCUCAACUCCAGUGCACCACCACUCUUGUUCUGAGCAUUUUAAGCCAUGGAGUGUUAUACCAAGUAGGAAGGGCUAUAAGUGAAGAAUAGUUUUGGUUAAGGAAGAUUGACCAGUUGACAUAUGGAAUUGUGAGAAACCAAGGUUUGAACAGGGAGGUCUGCAAGGGAUCAGUGUUGUGCUGAUUCAGUUCACUGUUGGUUUGGUUUAGUGUUUUUCCUUGGAAUUUGGAGCUGUUUUGUGUCUGAUCCAAGAGGUACAAGACUAAGGUCCCAACGGAAAAUUGUUAGAGGGUUAGUUGGUGAACAAAGUUCAUUAAGGUUGAUUCCCUGUUGUGGUUUGAAACUGGGAGAAAUGAAGGAGUGAUGUUGUGAACUCAGUCAAGCAGUAGCAGUUUAGUGUGCUCCAAGAAUAUCUGAAGAAGAUAUUUUCAUCCUUAUUGUGGCUGCACUUGUAUAUAUAUCGCUGAUGAUAUGGAUGGAGAACAUGGCUAAGCAUCUAGAGAUAUCACCCUCUGCUGGAAAGAAUAUCCAGUAUUUACACCUGUUAGAGCUUAUCCAUAGAGAUAUUUGUGUGCUGCAAUUGAAAGCCGACCAAGUUCCACUACCGGAAUCAACCUCUUCGCCGAGUGCCGGAAGCACUCGGCGAAGUCUUAAAAACACUCGGCAAAGGCUUUGCCGAGUGUAACACUCGGCAAAGAAGGCUCGGCAAACAGUACAUCGGCAAAGACUUCUUUGCCGAGUACUUUUCUUCGGGCACUCGGCAAAGAUCUUUGCCGAGUGUCAAGGUGCACUCGGCAAAGAAAAGCGACCGUUACGGCGCCGGUUGACGGAGACGGCGGUUUUGCCGAGUGUCAAUGGUGACACUCGGCAACGAAGAUAUCUUUGCCGAGUGUCCUCCUGGCAGCACUCGGCAAAGCCGCCUUGUUUGCCGAGUGCCACUUGGGACACUCGGCAAAGAGCCCGCCAGGGAGGGUCCCCAUGUCAGGCUCUUUGCCGAGUGUCCCAACUGGCACUCGGCAAAGCCGACCUCUUUGCCGAGUGCCAGCGACACAACACUCGGCAAAGAACCUAAGCCGGUGCCCAGGUCUGUGCUCAUUGCCGAGUGUUAUGACCCAGACACUCGGCAAAGAGCCUCUUUGCCGAGUGUUACACUCGGCAAAGUGACCAGUAUGUAUCUUUUUUAUUUGUUUUUUGUUUUCCAUCCACACAAACAGAAAAUAUCACAUAUAUAUCACAUAUAUACAUCACAGAUAUCAUCACAGACAUAAAUAGCCAACACAAACAUAAAACCGUGACCACAAACAUAAAUAUCCAUCACAAACAUAAGUGUUCAACACAAACAUAAGUCUCAAACGUCGCAAGCUCUCACAUAAGUAUUAAACAGAAACAUAAGUAUUAUACAUAAGUUGUGAAGUCUAAAACAACGACUCAUGGAGGUGGGCGGUUUGGCCGGGGUUGCGUUGGGCUGAACCCUUCCGGAGGGUUGUUGGAUGCCGCCCCAGAUUGGCCCUGCACAAAGAAGAGAUAGCAUGUGUUAUACCAGAUGCAUUACAAACAUCUAACUACAAUUUUGGUACUCACAGGAGUGUGGAAGAGAGUAGGGUCAACUGGGGGGAACAAUGGAGGUGGCGGAGCGAUGCCCUGUGCGGCGCCAAGGCUCUGCAUGUACUGGAACAUCUCCGCCAUCCUCUGAUCAGCCGCCGCCCGCUCCGCCAUUAUCCUCGCCUCCAUCUCUUCUAGUUGGGUCUGUAAUAUUACAAGCCAACGUUAUAGUAACUCAAAGACUAGGUAUAUAACUAAAGGAAGGACGAGUUACAGAAGCACUAACCUCGAGUUGUGAAAUGCGAUGCUGUGAGCUGUCGUGCCGAGGUCGAAUGGCUGGGCUCGAGCCAGUGCUCCUUGCUCUCACCUGAGACAGAGUGGGAGUGGAGGACGAGUCGAUUGCCCCGUCGGCAAUCCAGUACCGCCCAUGUCUCUUGCCUCCUCCGACCCUCAUGAGCACAUCGGGGUCGAUAGGCUCGGUGCUCGGAUCAUAGUCUGGGCCAUGGACCUCCUGCGCCAUGGCGGUGUAGUCAUGGAGGCGGCUGUAGACGGCGGGGUUGGUGUAGGCCUCGGGCCCGUCAUCCGGGUUGUAGGUGACGUCGGACGUCGCCUUACCCUUAUGGGCCAUAGCAUAGGCCGAGAAGGUGGAACAAGGCCUGCCACCAUGUGACGCCGACUGCAACGAAAACCAACGAGAUAGUUAGAAAUAAUAUCUAACUUAGUGCUAUAUAUCGAAAUAAAAAGGUGGCGUACCCAUGCUUCGGCAUAUUGGCCCAGGCUCCGGCUGCCUUGGUGGUGCGAGGGCCCUUGCAUCUGCAAACGCCGUUCCCGGCUAGCUGUGUGCACCUCGUCCCACUCAGCCGAACACCACCUAUCCACCAUCUGCUCCCAGCAGAGAGGAUGUGCGGCGCACCAAUGUGGAAUCACCUGCAAAGUAAACACAUAAAGUGCAUAUCAGAAGAUAAAAUAAAAUUCAUGCAUGGAGUACUGGUACCAAACAUGCAUGACUUUACCUGCAUGUACUGCUCCCUGGUCAACGACAUGGUUCGGGCUUGAGGUUUGGUCACCUUCUCCCCAAGGACGGAGCCGUGGUAGGUGAUGAUGGCCUGGAUGCGGGCCUCAUAGUGCAUGUCCACGACGAGCUUCUUACAGCACGUGGUGGCCACCACAUCCGCCCUAGCCUCGUAUCCAGCAUCGCAUCUGAAGAAAUCCUGCAUACAAAAACGAUGUAUCCAUACAUUAUUUCAAGAAUUUGCAACGAAUGCGACAUAUUUUAUAUUAUACUAAGACUUACCCACAGCUCUUGCUUCACCCGCUCCGCCUUGUUAUUGAAUUCCCUGCCGUCCCGGUCUACUGCAUCGGGGGCGACGGCGUAGUGGUCGAAGGUGAAGGCUGGGCCCGUCACUCCGGCGUACUCCACAAGUCCAGGGAAGUGUUCCCUGCACAGCAGGCCGAGGAUGUUGUUGGGGGGGCGACGAUGACCCCCAGCAUAAUCCAAAACCGUCCAAGACCUGUCCAAGUGAUAAAUAAAAAGUAUUAGUUUAUAUUAUGAUUUUGAACACAUAAUAUGAACAAGAAUGAAGAACAUAAAGUUACAUACCUCUCCCCUUCCGGCCGAAUCAACGGCCGUCUGUCCCGAAGUAUGGGACGCGGCGGGAGACUCGCGGGGCCUCGCAGGUAGAUGCUCCUCGAACUAGAGCCGCCUGAACCUGAGGCGUCCUGCUGCUGGUCGUCGUCGUGCUGCUGGUCGUCGUCGUCCUGAGGCGCCGGCUGCUGCUGCGCUGCCUGCUCUGCCUCCUGCUGCUGCGCUGCCUGCUCUGCAUCGUCCGCCGUCCUACUCCUCCUCCCCCUCCUCCUCCUCAGGAAACCGCCCACCAUAUUUGUCCAACAACCUGCAAUUAAGAGUAAACAAAUAAGCACAUAUAAAAAAUGUAUUUAAAAACAGGUGCGAAAUAAAAAGUCAUAUAGCAUUACAUCGAUUAAAAAUAAUCUUCAUAUGUGUCGGGGUUAGCCGGAUCAAAACUCUCAUCAUCACUAUCAAGCAUUUCAAUCUCAACACCAUCGGAAGACGCAACCUCAUCAUUGCCUUCAAGGAUUACUAAGUCAUUAUCAUUUUGCACCUCAUCAUCCUCCUCAUCAACAACCAUUUCAAUAUCUACGUCCAUUCCGAUAGCUUCUGUUAAGUCUAUCUCAAAUCGCCCUUCUAGCCCAUCUUCUUGGAAGAACUCUCCAUCAUAUGUGUCCGGGUCUAAGUUGUAAUCUUCAUCGUUAGGAACAGGUAACCUCCCAUGCGGCGAUACCUUAUACACAACAUCCCAACCCUUAAGAUGUUCUUUCGUUUGACACGCAUAUGGGAGAUAAUACACUUGUGUGGCCUGUUGGGCCACGAUAUAGACAUCGUCUCCUGCUAAGGUGGAAUCUUGUCGAAUUUCGACUAUCCCAAGAUUAGAAUGUGUCCGUCUCGUCACUUGAGGGUCAAACCAGUGACAUUUGAAUAUCACUGGAGUAAGAGGUUUGGAACCAUAAAAAUUGAGCUCAUAUAUUUCUUCAAUUCGUCCAAAAUAAUCGACAUUGUCAAGCCCUGGCGUAAAGACUCCAGAACACGUUGUUUUCCGAUUGGGCCGACUUUGGUCGUAGUGUGUUGUACGAAAACGGUAUCCAUUGACGUCAUACCCAGAAUAUUUCUUGACCCUAUAAGCAAAGCCGUUGGCUACUUGUCUCAACUCGGCACUCAUAGACGGAUCUCUUUGGCCCUGCAAGUAUUCGCAAGUUAAAAGAUGCUAAAUUGAGUUCAAAGACGUAUCUCUUUUACAAACUAAACACGUACCUUACGUUUGAACCAGGAAAUGAAAUCGGGCAACCCAUUUCGCGCACCCUUUCUAAGAAGAGUGUCAUAUUCCUGUGGAGUGGGGUCCCUUGAUCGACGCCAGAAUUCAUGAAGAAAUUGUUCCAUGUAUGGCGUCACCUCUUCAAGGUUGGUCAAUACGUAUAGCAUGAUAUGUCGCCACUCGUCAUGAUUCAGGGUCUUGGUGGUCGAGCCACUUGCGCUUCCGAGUUGGCCUCGAAAUAUGCUAAGGUUCGAUUCAUUGUCGCCAUCAUUGUAACGAGGGGGUGGAUUAUGCACGCUCGGCAGUUUGUCACCAUAAUAAGUUGUUGUGAAGUUUGAGACCUCCUCUAGAAUGUAUGCCUCUGCAAUGGAAGCCUCGAUUUUGCAUUUAUUUCUACAUUUCUUUCGAAUAGUCUUUAGACAUCUCUCGAUUGGAUAGCACCAACGUCCCUGCACGGGGCCCCCCAUUCGUGCCUCAUAGGGGAGAUGAAGAAUCAAAUGCUGCAUUGGAUUGAAGAAGCCGGGUGGAAAUAUCUUCUCAAGCUUACACAGUAAAACGGGGGCCAAUCUUUCCAAGUCUGCAACCACGGUCCGAGAUAACUCUUUUGCACAAAGCUGACGGAAGAAAUAGCUCAACUCUGAAAGCGUUAGCCAGACAUGCUCAGGGACAUAGCCUCGAACCAUCGCAGGAAGAAUCCGUUCAAUCCAUAUGUGGAAGUCAUGACUCUUCAUCCCUAAGACUCGCAUAGUAGAUAAGUUCACCCCCCUACUCAGGUUAGCUGCAUACCCAUCAGGGAACAUCAACAUCUUGAUCCACUGAAGUACUUCCUUCCUCUGGGCCCUGCUUAGGACGAAAUCGGCCUUAGGCCUUCUCCAUGUCUUUCCGCCACUUGGCGGCUUCAUCUCUAGUUUUGGUCUAUCACAUAACGCUGCCAGAUCCACUCUUGCCUUCACAUUAUCCUUUGACUUAUCAGGAAUGUCCAUAAUUGUUGCCCACAGUGCCUCGGCAACAUUUUUUUCAGUGUGCAUCACGUCAAUGUUGUGUGGAAGGAGCAGGUCGUCAUAAUAGGGGAGCCGAGUCAAGCCAGACUUAUGUGUCCACAUAUGCUGCUCACCAUAUCCCACAAAACCACCUUCUGUAUUGGCCACGAGCCCAUCUAUCUGUUGACGAAUUUCGGCACCAGUCAUCGCUGCAGGUGGGCGGUCUGUCACUACGACACCUUUCGUAAAGUUCUUGAUGUCUAGGCGGAAUGGAUGGUCAGCAGGAAGAAAUUGUCGAUGUUUAUCGAAGGAAGAAUAUUUGCCACCCUUUUUCAACCAAAUGAACCUGAGAGCUUCCUUGCAAACUGGGCAUGGGAACUUACCGUGAACACACCAGGCACAGAAUAGCCCAUAGGCCGGUAAGUCAUGCAUGGAGUACUGGUACCAAACAUGCAUUCUGAAGUUUGUCUUCGUAGCUCGGUCAAACGUCCAUACCCCUUCCUCCCAGGCACGUACCAAUUCAUCGAUCAAAGGCUCCAUGUACACGCCCAUUUUGUUCCCCGGGUGUCCGGGAAUUAUCAACGACACGAAUAUAUUCUGCCUUUGAAAGCACACACCAGGGGGGAGAUUGAUUGGGAUAACAAACACGGGCCAACAUGUGUACGGGGCAGCGCUCAUUCCAUAGGGAUUGAACCCAUCUGUGGCCAACGCAACACGUACAUUACGAGCCUCUUCGGCUUUCUCACGGUGAAUGUCAUCAAAGUGUUUCCAUGCUUCACCAUCUGAUGCGUGCACCAUCUUGUCAGGAUUGUAUCGUUUUCCAUUUUUGUGCCAAGUCAUCUGUUUCGCGGAUUCCUCUGUCAUGUACAGACGCUGGAUCCUCGGUACGAACGGAAGGUGUCGUAGGAUUGUCAAGGGGAUGUCGAGCUGCCUCUUUUGUCCAUCACCAGAGUCUACCUCCAUAAACCUAGACGAAUUACACUUGGGACAGUACUUUGCCUCCGCGUAUUCUUUCCUAAAUAGCACGCAGCCCUUCGGACAAGCAUGAAUCUGCUCAUACGUCAUCUUGAGUGCACGAAGUAGUUUCUGUGCCUCGUACAUGCUCUUUGGCAGAACGUGAUCAUCCGGAAGCAGACUCCCAAUAACCGUCAACAAGCCAUCGAAUGCGUCUCUACUCAUGUUGUACUGCGACUUGAACGCCAUUACACGCCCAAUGGCAUCCAGUUGAGAAACCUUUGUCUGGCCGUGAAGGGGCUUCUGUGCCGCGUCGAACAUGUCGUAGAACGCCUUUGCAGUCGGCUCUGGCUCUUCAUCCAUACAUCCUCCCGUGUACUGUGCCUCCUGAUAGUCGUUCAACAUAUCCGCUACCCCCGCAUCCGCGUCAUAAUCCUCGACACGUUGUCUCAGCACCUCCUCUCUCGUACGAUGGGCUUCACCAUGAAAUAUCCACCGAGUAUAGCCCGACGUAAAUCCAUUCUUCCAAAUAUGUUCUACCAUGGUCUUCUUUGGUUUUCUUUUCCGGUUGUCACAUUUGCUGCACGGGCAUGGAACUAGACUCGCUCCUUUAGCAGCUUCGCCAUAUGCCCGUUCCACGAAAUCAUCGGUCUUUCUAAUCCAUUCAGUGGUGACAUCGUUCCUUCCUCUACGGCCCGUGUACAUCCACUCACGGUCCUCCAUCCUAUAACAUAUAUAACCGACUAUAGUUUAAUAUAACAUGUAAAAAAUUUGGCAGCACCUCCCCUGUACGGGGAUGUUUACAAAACCUGCAAAUAAAACUAUCGGCACGAUGGCCGACAUCCACAAAAUAUAUCUAAUUGACACACAGAGUAGAAACUCUCUAAAUUAAAUAAACAUGUAUUAUAAAUUUAAUAAACACACAUACUAAAUUCAAUAAACACAUAAUAUAACAAUAAACAUACAUAUGACAAUAUAACAAUAAUAUAACAAUAAACAUACAUAAAUUUAAUAAAUUUAUUAAACCUUUACGGUUUGGCGACGAUCGGCCGGCGGCGGCGUGCCGGGCGCGUGGGCGGGCGGACGGUGACGACUUGCCGGUCGCGUCGGGGGCGGGCGGCGGUCGGCUCGCCGGCGUUGGCGUGCCGGGCGCGGCGAGCGGGCGGGCGAGGGCGGCGUGCCGGCGUGGGCGCGGUGAGAGGCGCCGGUGGCUUGCCGGCGUGGGCGCGGGGAGAGGCGGCGGGCGAGGGCGGCGUGGAGAGGCGGCGGGGAGAGGGCGGCGUGGAGAGGGCGGCGGGCGAGGGCGGCGAGGGCGGCGUGGAGAGGGCGGCGAGGGCGGCCGGGCGAGGGCGGCGUGGAGAGGCGGCGGGCGAGCGGCCGGGAGAGGCGGCGGGCGUGGCGGCGGUGAGGCAGAGGGAGAAGAGAAAGGAGAAGGAAAGGAGAAGGAAGAAGAAAGCCGGCCGGGCGGCCGGUUAAUUAAAAUUCUUUGCCGAGUGCCCGCGAUCCGGCACUCGGCAAAGAUUUUUUUAAAAUUUUAAAAUAAACUUUGCCGAGUGCCGGAUCACGGGCACUCGGCAAAGGCUUUUGUGCCGAGUGCUAUUUGUGCAGCACUCGGCAAAGCUUUGUUCUUUAUUCUUUGCCGAGUGCCACACAGUAGGCACUCGGCAAAGACUUCUUUGCCGAGUGUCAUCCCUAGACACUCGGCAAAGUAUAUUUUUAUUUUUUUGAUUUUGUCUCCCAAACUUUUUGUGGUAUGUUCCUACACUAUGUAGACCUACAUGUAUCAUUUGUGGACAAUUAUAACAGAGAUUCAAUCGUUAGUAGAUUUAGUUCGUUUAUUUGAAUUUCUUCGGAAAAUUCAAAUUUGAACUGCAGGUCACUCGAAACUUGGAAAACCGUGCAUGAAAAAAUGAUAUUCAUGGUACUUAGCAUAAGUUACGACCGAUUUCAGAAGCGUACCGGAAACUUCGAGCAACAUGCUCACUAAACAUGGCCGUGAACUUGGCAUCCACGUGUUUAAAAAUUGUAUAAAACACAAACAAAGUCAGAAAAUCAUGAAACUUGUCCCCGUGUCAUGAUAUCAUAUGUAUAGACUGUGAUAAAAAUUUUAGAGUAUUUGGAGAAAGUUGUGAGACACUAUGUGUAGAAACCUAAGAGGACUACACAUGAAAUCAUAGAGUUUCAAUGUGGAUCUCUUAGGUUUCUACACAUAGUGUCUCACAACUUUCUCCAAAUACUCUAAAAUUUUUAUCACAACCUAUACAUAUGAUAUCAUGACACGGGGACAAGUUUCAUGAUUUUCUGACUUUGUUUGUGUUUUAUACAAUUUUUAAACACGUGGAUGCCAAGUUCACGGCCAUGUUUAGUGAGCAUGUUGCUCGAAGUUUCCGGUACGCUUCUGAAAUCGGUCGUAACUUAUGCUAAGUACCAUGAAUAUCAUUUUUUCAUGCACGGUUUUCCAAGUUUCGAGUGACCUGCAGUUCAAAUUUGAAUUUUCCGAAGAAAUUCAAAUAAACGAACUAAAUCUACUAACGAUUGAAUCUCUGUUAUAAUUGUCCACAAAUGAUACAUGUAGGUCUACAUAGUGUAGGAACAUACCACAAAAAGUUUGGGAGACAAAAUCAAAAAAAUAAAAAUAUACUUUGCCGAGUGUCUAGGGAUGACACUCGGCAAAGAAGUCUUUGCCGAGUGCCUACUGUGUGGCACUCGGCAAAGAAUCAUCUUUGCCGAGUGCCAGCCGCUGGCUCUCGGCAAAGACUGACGGCCGUCAGCUUUGGGACGGCCGUUGACGGCCCUUUGCCGAGAGCCCACUUUGCCGAGUGUUUAACACUCGGCAAACCAGGCUGUGCCGAGUGUCUACCUAUGCCGAGUGUCCGGCACUCGGUAAAGAGCCUCGUUGCCGAGAGCCUAGCUUUACCGAGUGCGGCACUCGGCAAAGCCGUCUUUGCCGAGUGCCCGACAAAAGGCACUCGGCAAAGAUUGCAACACUCGGCAAAGCCUUGGAUUCCGGUAGUGUUCAUUGCUUGGACUGGGUUUGUAAGCCUGAGCGAAAUUGGGUGCAUGCAAGCCACGUAGUGGAGUCUUGCAAUGCUGUCAACCUGAGAGCAUCUCUCCACUGUAUUGUGGCUGACUUUGGGGCUGCCUGCCCCCAUAUAUAAUUGCCCUAGGGCUAAUUCUAGUGAAGUCUCCUCCCUGCCUUGAGCUCUAACCCAGGGACCACUACAGAGGUGUUGGGAUCCUUGUGUUCCUGCUGAGGUUAACUCUCCUCAGCCCCUGGGUUUGUCUUGUUCCAGAACCCUGCAUGCCAUCCCCUGGGUGGUGACCACCGGCAGCAGUUUGUCCACCUCGCCGUGACCAGGUAACUUCAAGGGUUUCCUCAGGCGAGUUGUGCAUAUAUUAUGUUCUGUAUAAGAUAAAGAAGCUCAUAUGAUGGUAAACCAUUUUCCUUAAGUAGGUUUGGUUUGGGGUGUAUGGAAAGUAGAGUGAAAGCUGUCCAAAAAUGGUUUGUCAGUUUGCACUGACUGAAUUUUGGUUCAGAUUAGCUGAAAACUGGACUGCUGCAGAUUGCUCAAUUUGGAGCUCUCCUGUGACCAGUUCAUGAGGUUUUGGGUUACCAGUUGUAUAGAAAAGUCAAAGACCAGAUGAAGGUGAACAAGUUUCAUCAGAGGAGUGGGGCUUUCUACUGUGUAAAAUAUGGAGAAAUAUGUGCUGCAAUUUUCUAUGUCAGGUGUUGUGUUCAGGUCUUUUUCAGUUAGCUGAAAUUUAGCAUUUGCGUUUCCACCUCAAGUUUGGUGCUCUGUAACUUGAGAUCUGUUCAGGAUUAGCUAGUAGCUGUUGUAACAAAGAUGGAGAGAGAUUAUAGAGGAACCAUUCCUAGUAAGGAAAUACAUUGAGCCCUCAUAUGGAAUUGCGAGAAAAUAGUGUCACAAAACCCUCUGUCAGACUUGGAGUGGGCUGUUUCAGCUAACUGAAAACCUGUUCAGGGUGUUGUUUAGUCAACUUUGGAGCUCUGUAGUAAUUAAUAAAACCAGAAUUGGGUUAAGAGUUCUAUAGAAAGGUGAAAGACCGAGUGUAGGAGAACCAGUUUUAUACAAGCAGAUUGGCUUGUUGAUGUAUGGAACUUAGAGAAAAGCCUGUUGCAAAACUCUCUGUCAGGCAUUGUAAGGUGCUGUUUCAGAUCGAGGAACUGAACUUUUCAGUGUUUUGCUCUAACUUUGGUGCACCAUAGCUAUUGCUCUAUGUAUUUUUAGUCUUGGUGUGUUAUAUCAAAGUGGAAGAGCAAUACUUAGGGAAUAGAUUUGGUUAAGUAAGUGGGGCCUCGGUCACGGGUCAGGUCUGUCUGCGGUUGGGCCGACUGAGUGAGUUUGGGCCCGAUACUGUUCUGAGUUUUGCCUUUUCUAUUAGCUGAGAGAUUAGAAAUGGUGCCAAAAUUUGUUGAAAAUUCCAAAAAUCAUGGCACAAAUUUUAUUGGAUGUAUAAAAUCAAAGCUCUCUAGUAAAGUUGGUUUUCGGAUUUUUAGGACAGUUAGAAAUUAUUAAGUGAUUUAAAGGUGCCUUUGUAAGGACUGUUUGGAUUUUAGAAAUAAAAGUAUAACACCAAAAAUUCUGGAAAUUCUGGAAGAGACUUUUUAUCAGAAGGGGAACACUUGGUAAAUUUUUGGGGCUGUUUGGAAGCCUUUUGACCUGAAAGUCUUGCAAGGUCCAAAAAUAGUUAUUAAAUCCUUACUUAUGGAACUAAGUGCUUUUGGGGCAGAGGCAUGUUGAUCUAGUGAGAUCUUGACCCUUGAAUGAAGUUACUUAAGGAGUUUUAAGCUUUUGAUUGAGACCUUGGUUGGGGUAAUUCCCUGGUUUACCUAAGUGAUUUCAAAUUGGUCACUUUAGUCGAGCAAUAAGAAAUAGGUAUAUUCUUGUCAUGUGCUUUAGUUGUAGUGUUUCUGUUCUCCACCUCUCCUUGUAAGAGUUUGCAUUACAUGGCAUUCAUUCUUAUAUAUACCUAUAUGGUUAUAUUUAGAACGCGAAGAAGAAGUGGAAGUCCCUGAAGAGAAGACAACACCACCUUUGGAGUCUCAGGCAGGGUCUCGUCUCUACUUUAGCAUCUGCGGGCCUGAGACUAACUCAUCUAUAAACAAAGG
rnacentral:lncRNA from 1 species